rnacentral:rRNA from 1 species
UACGUAGGGUGCAAGCGUUAAUCGGAGUUACUGGGCGUAAAGGGCGCGUAGGCGGUCAUGCAAGUGAGAUGUGAAAUCCCCGGGCUUAACCUGGGAACUGCAUUUUAGACUGUGUGACUGGAGUACUGUAGAGGACAGUGGAAUUUCCGGUGUAGCGGUGAAAUGCGUAGAGAUCGGAAGGAACACCAGUGGCGAAGGCGGCUCUCUGGGACGGUACUGACGCUGAGACGCGAAAGCGUGGGGAGCGAACAGG